rnacentral:rRNA from 1 species
AACGAACGCUGGCGGCAUGCCUAACACAUGCAAGUCGAACGAGACCUUCGGGUCUAGUGGCGCACGGGUGCGUAACGCGUGGGAACCUGCCUUUAGGUUCGGAAUAACUCAGAGAAAUUUGAGCUAAUACCGGAUGAUGUCUUCGGACCAAAGAUUUAUCGCCUUUGGAUGGGCCCGCGUUGGAUUAGCUAGUUGGUGGGGUAAAGGCCUACCAAGGCGACGAUCCAUAGCUGGUCUGAGAGGAUGAUCAGCCACACUGGGACUGAGACACGGCCCAGACUCCUACGGGAGGCAGCAGUGGGGAAUAUUGGACAAUGGGCGAAAGCCUGAUCCAGCAAUGCCGCGUGAGUGAUGAAGGCCUUAGGGUUGUAAAGCUCUUUUACCCGGGAUGAUAAUGACAGUAUCGGGAGAAUAAGCUCCGGCUAACUCCGUG